CCUCACAGGAAUUCGUCAGAGCAUAUAACGGAUACAUAUACUGCUCACAGCAACUCGUCAUAGCUCACAGUAACUCAUACAUAGAGGUGGAUAUAUAUGGUGGAGAUAUAGAUAUAUAUAUAUAUAUAUAUAUAUAUAGAAGCGGAGCCCUCACAGCAACUCGUCAUAGCAUAGAGGGUACAUAUACUGCUCACAGUCACUUGUCAUAGAGCAUAUAAAGGGUACAUAUACUGCUCACAGUAACUCAUACAUAGAGCAUAUAGUGGAUACAUAUAGAGCAACUGAGACCUCACAGCAAUUCAUCAUAGAGCAUAUAGCGGAUACAUAUACUGCUCACAGCAACUCGUCAUAUCUCACAGUAACUCAUACAUA